rnacentral:lncRNA from 1 species
UAAUAAUCUCCUUUACCCUUGCUCGGCAUGAAUGUUGUGGAUUUUGAAACUGUGUUGAAUUCUAAGUUUGGGGUGGUGAAUCUAAUACAAAAAGGGACAAGCGUACGAAAAAUUUUCACAAGAAAAGAGAAAAAGAAAAAUAAAUUGGAGGCUUUUCGAAUGCUCCGAAAAUAAAAAGAAGAGAAAAGAAAAAUAGAACUGGUAAUAACGCACUUCUCCUAACUAAACGACUUGAGUACAUUUACAAUACUCAAUCUGUUGAGUAAAGUUAAAUGGUCAAUGUUGUAGCACCUCAAAUUU